rnacentral:rRNA from 1 species
CCAGACUCCUACGGGAGGCAGCAGUGAGGAAUAUUGGUCAAUGGGCGAGAGCCUGAACCAGCCAAGUCGCGUGAGGGAAGACGGCCCUACGGGUUGUAAACCUCUUUUGUCAGGGAGCAAGAACGGAUACGUGUAUCCGAGCGAGAGUACCUGAAGAAAAAGCAUCGGCUAACUCCGUGCCAGCAGCCGCGGUAAUACGGAGGAUGCGAGCGUUAUCCGGAUUUAUUGGGUUUAAAGGGUGCGUAGGCGGGAUGCCAAGUCAGCGGUAAAAAUGCGGUGCUCAACGCCGUCGAGCCGUUGAAACUGGCGUUCUUGAGUGGGCGAGAAGUAUGCGGAAUGCGUGGUGUAGCGGUGAAAUGCAUAGAUAUCACGCAGAACUCCGAUUGCGAAGGCAGCAUACCGGCGCCCUACUGACGCUGAGGCACGAAAGCGUGGGUAUCGAACAGGAUUAGAUACCCCGGUAC